CGUGCCAGCAGAGCUAGCCCCACCCACAAGCUGCAGAUUUGAGAUAAAAAUUCCAUACCCCUUCUGUUAGACAAGCAUCCUUUUAUACAGGUCUCUCUCACCCUACUAUUUUAUCAGUCCAUUCCACGUGGCACUAUCGCUCCAACACUCUCUAACUGAAUAACCUAGGGCUGUGCAAUCAGUGGUUCGAUUUCGAACCAAAUUAAGCUAAAAAACUUAAAAAUCGAAUUGUAAAAUAUUAAAAAUUGAAAAAAUUGAUUAAUAAAAAUAUAAUCGAACUAAAUUGAACCGAUAAAAAUCGAUUCGGUUUGGUUCGAUUCAAUUCAAACUGAAAUUUAUAAUUUUUUUUAAUUUUUUAUUUUUAAUUUCACUAGAAU
rnacentral:lncRNA from 1 species